ACGCUGGCGGCAGGCCUAACACAUGCAAGUCGAGCGGUAGCACAGAGAGCUUGCUCUCGGGUGACGAGCGGCGGACGGGUGAGUAAUGUCUGGGAAACUGCCUGAUGGAGGGGGAUAACUACUGGAAACGGUAGCUAAUACCGCAUAACGUCGCAAGACCAAAGUGGGGGACCUUCGGGCCUCAUGCCAUCAGAUGUGCCCAGAUGGGAUUAGCUAGUAGGUGGGGUAACGGCUCACCUAGGCGACGAUCCCUAGCUGGUCUGAGAGGAUGACCAGCCACACUGGAACUGAGACACGGUCCAGACUCCUACGGGAGGCAGCAGUGGGGAAUAUUGCACAAUGGGCGCAAGCCUGAUGCAGCCAUGCCGCGUGUGUGAAGAAGGCCUUCGGGUUGUAAAGCACUUUCAGCGGGGAGGAAGGCGAUGAGGUUAAUAACCUCGUCGAUUGACGUUACCCGCAGAAGAAGCACCGGCUAACUCCGUGCCAGCAGCCGCGGUAAUACGGAGGGUGCAAGCGUUAAUCGGAAUUACUGGGCGUAAAGCGCACGCAGGCGGUCUGUCAAGUCGGAUGUGAAAUCCCCGGGCUCAACCUGGGAACUGCAUUCGAAACUGGCAGGCUAGAGUCUUGUAGAGGGGGGUAGAAUUCCAGGUGUAGCGGUGAAAUGCGUAGAGAUCUGGAGGAAUACCGGUGGCGAAGGCGGCCCCCUGGACAAAGACUGACGCUCAGGUGCGAAAGCGUGGGGAGCAAACAGGAUUAGAUACCCUGGUAGUCCACGCCGUAAACGAUGUCGAUUUGGAGGUUGUGCCCUUGAGGCGUGGCUUCCGGAGCUAACGCGUUAAAUCGACCGCCUGGGGAGUACGGCCGCAAGGUUAAAACUCAA
rnacentral:rRNA from 1 species